rnacentral:rRNA from 1 species
UAAGUAGGGAGCUAGCGUUGUUCGGAAUUACUGGGCGUAAAGCGCAUGUAGGCGGAUCUAUAAGUCAGAGGUGAAAUCCCCGGGCUCAACCCUGGAAUUGCCUUUGAUACUGUAGAUCUGGAGUCUGGGAGAGGUGAGUGGAAUUCCGAGUGUAGAGGUUAAAUUCGUAGAUAUUCGGAGGAACACCAGUGGCGAAGGCGGCUCACUGGCCCGAGACUGACGAUGAGAUGCGAAAGCGUGGGGAGCAAACAGG